CAAUUACAACAAUAUUGAUAACAAAGCUUCGUAUUUGCACUCUAACAUGUUGCCUCUAUUUUCAUCACCAUGCUCUCUCCUUUCACAAAUAGGUCCAGAACUUUGAUUGCCAGAAGAAAUGCACUCUAUAGAGCUUUAUGUAAGUGGUAGAAAG